GACGAACGUUGGCGGCGUGCUUAAUACAUGCAAGUCAACUGAAGCAGUGGUAGCAAUAUCGCUGUGGAGGUGGCGCACGGGUGAGUAACACGUAGGUAAUCUGCCUUCAGGUCUGGCAUAACUCCGGGAAACCGGGGCUAAUAGCAGAUGAUGCAGCGGCUCGACAUCGAGACAGUUGUUAAAGCUAUGGCGCCUGAAGAUGAGCCUGCGUCUGAUUAGCUAGUUGGCGGGGUAACGGCCCACCAAGGCAACGAUCAGUAGCUGGUCUGAGAGGAUGAUCAGCCACACUGGAACGGAGACACGGUCCAGACUGCUACGGGAGGCAGCAGUAAGGAAGAUUGCGCAAUGGGAGAAAUCCUGAAGCAGCAACGCCGCGUGAGGGACGAAGGGCUUUUGCUUGUAAACCUCUGUAGUGAGAGAAAAAAAUCCCAAUCUUUGGGACAUGAUGGUAUCUCAAAAGUAAGCCCCGGCUAACCACGUG
rnacentral:rRNA from 1 species